rnacentral:lncRNA from 1 species
GUUGCUGGGUUGACGGUGGAGGGAACAGGGAAUAGUGGAGCAGCUUUGGGCAUGGCAGAGGAGUCAACGUUGGGGCUCAGCUAGCGAGGGGUUGACGCUGGAUGUGGCAGCUCUGUGAGUGGAGAUGGGGCUGUCGGUUUGGGGGUGUCGUGGAUGUGGCGUGAGGCAGGAGACGGGCAGCAAAAUCGGUGCAGUACAGACGCCAAUGGAGCAGCAGAAUUGGCGCGGGGAGGUGGGCUUCGAUUCGGUGAGUUUGAGAAGAAGACCGAGGAGAGGAAAUCGUAGCAGGUGGGAGGCUUUCGACGAAACAGAAUGAAAGAAAAGCAGAAGUGUUCGAGCGUGCAGAAGAAGAC